rnacentral:rRNA from 1 species
AGAUUGAACGCUAGCGGCAUGCCUAACACAUGCAAGUCCAACGUGAAAGGGGAGCAAUCCCCCGGUAGGGUGGCAAACGGGUGAGUAAUGCGUAGGAAUCUACCCACGAGUGGGGGAUAGCCCGGAGAAAUCCGGAUUAAUACCGCAUAUGCCCUACGGGUAAAGCGGGGAGUCGUAAGACCUCGCGCUGGUGGAUGAGCCUACGUCCGAUUAGUUAGUUGGUGGGGUAAAGGCCUACCAAGGCUACGAUCGGUAGCUGGUCUGAGAGGAUGAUCAGCCACACUGGGACUGAGACACGGCCCAGACUCCUACGGGAGGCAGC